CACAACUUGUUUCGUGGAUCUUACUUGCUGUAGCCUCAUGUCACCCAGAGGCUGCCACUGCUCCAACUCUCUUUCCAGGGCCCUUCUUCAGGAGACAUGUCCAUGUGGCCACUCCAACCAGACGCUACUUCCAGAAGAUAAGAUGGUAUUCAGGACACUAUGGACUGCAAGCUUCUCUGGCCAUUUUGCAAUUCCAUUUCUCCCUGCUCUAGGACAUUGAGGUGACCCUCUUUGGGCAAUGGCGGAGAGCACUGGUCUGUGCAACAUGUGCUGCCCUGUAUUUAUCUCUCUGAAGUCUGAUUCCCCAGCCUUCCAUGCAGAGCUGUGUGGCACCUAGCAGAAGGCAGGCGUGUACACCUGGCUUCCCCUGAGGCUGUCUUCCCGCCGUUCCCACAUCAGCUGUCACACCAAGGGGCUCAGCCGGCUCUGUUAGCUCUUCCACCAGGAUGCGUCCUAAGGUGGGCAGCACCCUGCUUCUCUCCCCAGCCACAGUCUAGGAGCUGUGCUUGUCACUGUGGCCCUCAUCUGGAGCGCAGCACGGGACUCUUCUGGAAACCCCACCCCAGUGCAGAAGAAAGUGCAUCCCACUGCAGGGGCCCGAGUCCUGCAGGUCAGUAACUACUUCACACCCGCCUCUUCCCAUCCCUCCUUCCCCAUAGAGCCACCAAAGAGCUGGUACCAAAAUCAACUAGUGACAGCAGAGAUGUCCAGGGAACAGAGUAAGUCAGUGGCCUUAUAAUAGCCACAGUGGUGAUUGUGGCAGUUAAACCACCUUAUCUAGUCAGCUGAAGACCACAGUCAAGUGCAGCCUUGCGACUCUGACGUCCCCCUGCACUCAGGUCCCUGGGCACUCUUCUUAUCUUGACCAGGAUUCUCACUAGAGGAAGCACAAGAGAAGAAAGGCAUUAGAGUCUUGGUCAGCUUCCUGCCCCCCCUUAUACUAACAGCAUGCCGGGUCCCUGAUGAACUUUGUGGUUCCUGUAGUAAGGUGUGCCCACAGUCAGUCUGGCAGCUGACUCCACGUGGCUGACUCACCAUGAUCGCUGCAAACACACAUGUCCAAUCUUGGGUUCUACUGUGUCUCACAGGACCCAGGGUUUAUAGUAGGGCUGCGUUGUAGCUACUGGCCACUCCUAGGAGCAGACAUACUUGUUUCAUUACCUAAUCCGCUAAAGUCACCUGAACAUUUUAAUUCAGUGCAAAGCAGGUGGACACCAAGUAUUCCUUGGGCCACCUGGGUUUGUUUGUUUGUUUGUUUUGUUUUCCUUUGUUUUCCUGUUUCCAUUUUGAGACAGGGUUUCUCUGUGCAGCCCUGGGUGUUAUCCUGGAACUCGCUCUGUAGACCAGGAUGAUCUUGAUCUCACAGAGAUCCCCCUGCCUCUCCAAGUGUUUCUUAAAUGAAAGUAUUGAUGGAGACAGGAGCCACUGUAUGGGCAGGGGUUUCACCAACACAGAGGAGGCUCUAACAGAAAGGAAAUGCGUGGAGACAAUCUCCUUCACAGAGUUUUCCUGACUAGGGGUACAACACCGAAGGUGCCUUCUGGUCACAGAGGAGAGACAGUACCGCAGAGCCCUAUAGGCGAUGUGUGUGAACAGGCUAGCUUUAGCUCGGUGGCCAGAAGCAGGGCUGGGCAGCUGGCAAGGCUGCCCCCAGGUGGUAGUACCGGUUUUGGCAGUUGCUGUGGCCUCCAGUCUGUGCUGUCUCAGAGGGAGGCCAUAGCUUGUGUGUAGGCACAAAAGAAAGGUUUCUUGGAAGUUUCAUUUGCGGGUGAGGGUAUAGGAAGAUGGGAAGGGAAAUGACAGGAGAAUAAAGAGUAUUUGUUUCCAGUUGUUCAGGUGAGAGGCGGGGUGUUGGCAGUGCUAACAAGCUUGGCUCUGCCGCUUGAACUUAGGCGCCACUUAGUGAGAAGACAAAUAGUGAGAGCAGAGAAAGGAGAUUUUUUUUGUUCAUGUGGCCAGGCUGGGAGUGGAGCCAGCUACAGCACAGACGGGAGGGUUAGGUGAAACAGCAGGCUAGGGAUAUACAUAAGUAUUCAUCAUUUGCUGACAGCCAGGUUCUAUUUCCUUCUGGGGACUUUGAACCCAGGGCUUCAUGCUUGUGUAGCCGUGUACUCUUACCCACUGAGCCACCUCCCUGGCUCCCCUUAAUCUACUUUUCGACUGAGCCCCGCCCACUGUGUUGUCUGUAUAGAUAUCGGUCUUCUCUGAGACACAAACCUGGCAAACACUUCCUCUCGCUCCACACGCUGCCCCCAUGCAGUAAUGUUUCCUGUGGAGUGUAAAAUCUAUGGGGCCUCAUCUGUCCAUCAUUGGCUGUAUUUUUGGAGGACCUAGUGUUCUGUUUAGAAAGCCCUUGCCCGUGCUGUGCCUGAAUCUCAAUAUAGUUUGUUUCUGGAAACUAUAGUUUCAGUCUUUUAGUCUCAAAGUCCUUCAUCCAUCCAAAGUUAUUUUUACCAAGGGCAAAAGAUAAUCUAGAUUCAUUCUUUCUUCAACAUGUAAAUAUCCAGUUUUUCUGGCACCAUUGUUAAAGAAGCCAGCUUUCCUACAACAUCUACUUUUUGGAAUGUUUAUUUUUUUUUUGUUUUAAAGAUUUAUUAUUUAUUAUUUAAGUACACUGUAGCUGUCUUCAGACACGCCAGAAGAGGGCGUCAGAUCCCAUGUGAUUGCUGGGAUUUGAACUCAGGACCUUGGAAGAGCAUCUCAUCAGGACUGCUGAGCCAUCUCUCCUGUUUGUUUGUUUGUUUUAUUUUGUUUUUUUUUUUCAAAACUCAGGUGGCUGAAGCUUCAUGGGUUCAUAUAUUGAUCUUCUAUUUGGUUUCACCAAUCAACAUGUGUGUUUGUGUCAGUACCAUGCUGACUUUGUUACCAUAUCUCUGUAAUAUAACUGGAAAUCAGUGUGGUGUUACCUCCAGCAUUAUUUUUCCCCCUCAUGAUUGCUGUUUGAGCUUCCACUGAAUUUUAAGAUAUAUUAUCUUGCAUUUUACCGAGCAUGGUGUCACACCAGUAAGUCCAAUACAAAGGAGGCAGAAAUCUCUGAAUCUGAAGCCAGCCUGGUGUACAUAGCAAAUCCCAGGCCAGGUAGGGAUAAAGCCUAAAUGAGAAACAAACCAGUAGCUUCUUAGUGAACGAGGCUGUCCUAAUCUGGUGCUGAGGUGAGGCUGAGGCUGAGGCUGAAGUGAGGCUGAGGCUGAGGUGAGGCUGAGGCUGAGGCUGAGGCUGAGGCUGAGGUGAGGCUGAGGUGAGGCUGAGGCUGAGGCUGAGGCUGAGGCUGAGGUGAGGCUGAGGCUGAGGCUGAGGU
rnacentral:lncRNA from 1 species